CUGAAUGCCGCUUGCCGCUUCUUUACCGUGUUGCUCUAGCUAGGGCGCACAACUGCACGAGUUCAUCGUGUGGCGUGUUAAAGCUGCUGAACAUCAUUCCAAGCAUUUUUGUUUUGUUUUGUUUUAUGCGGCCCUGCGGAUGGCAGUCCGUGGCAGCCUACCAGACACACCAGGAUCUGCAGCUGUCACUUUGUAAAUGGCGAGAAGUCGAGAAGCUCUGCCUAUCUACCAACCUUGUUUCCAAGUGCGUAGAGGUCUACCAACGUUGCUACUGCACAUAGGUAUGAAAGGCUCCGGUCACAUGAGCAGCACAGACAAGCCACAUGGAGCUGUGUGUUGCCAGUUCCUGACGGCCAAGAAUGGAGUGGUGCAACUGCAGUGCACAAAAGUGUAGAAACGCAGACAGACCCUUGCACAUGGUUCUCGGAGGUGGAUAUGCCGAGCCUCUUCUUUUGUUGUUUAAAAGAAUGCGAAGCUGAGACGCAGGUUGUUCUUCCCUGCAAGAAGGAAAGCAAAGAUGCUACAUGGGGAACAUCCUACGACGUCAAGGACGCUGCUUGUGAUCCUAUGAACGUUGACCACAUGACCUCAAGCCCUGGCUUCUGUGGUUAUGCGAGUGUUUCAUCCUGCCCCAGUGACAAACCUUCAGAUAUUUUAAAGUGUAUUGCUGGAGUUUCAGUGAGUGUUUUUACAAAGCUGCUAUGUCUUGUAGUUCAGGCGCUCAAUGUACAGGGGAAUGAGGACACCACCAGUGCUUCAAGCAAAUAGCUUCUUUUUUUGAUGAAACUAAAACUAAACUUGUCCUAGUCGUCCUUGGCAGUGUUUUUUGGGUUGCACAGACCCACAUGUUCAAGGCAUUUUCUGCUCAUCCUUUCCACUCUCCAUGCAAAAAUGCGGCCAGUAAUUUACUGGCCAUCACGGCCAACCACGCAGCUGAUGAUGUCCAACUGCUUCAAGCCCGACUAUGUGAACUGCAGGGUUAUCAUUGACUGCACAGAUGUACCCUGCGCAGCGCCAAGCACUGUCCAUGAGAAAGUGCUCAUGUAUUCUAGCUACAAAGGAACAUACACUGUGAAAUUCCUUGUAGGAAUAACUCCAAUUGGCAUCAUAAGCUGUAUAUCAAGGCCUUAUGGGGGCCGUGCCACCUACUCUCUUAUAACAUCUGACUGUGGCAUAUUGCACAUGCUCGAGCCAGGGGACCUU